rnacentral:tRNA from 4 species
GGCCAGGUGGUGAAAUCGGUAUACACGCAAGACUUAAAAUCUUGUGGACGCAAGUCCGUGAGAGUUCAAAUCUCUCUCUGGCCACUA